CAAAUUAGUCACGCACACUUUAUGAAGAGCGCCCACCACGCUUUUGGAACCUAUGCUUAGCUUAUGUCUUCAGUGUGUGCUUCAAGGGCCUUCAAGUUUCAGUGUGCGCUCAGCCCAGAGACAGAGACCUUUUCAUUUUUUUGUGAGAGGAGCUGUCAACCAUCAGAAUAACUUGAAAUCCUGCCGACCACUCCUUGGUAAAGAAGAAAGGGAAAUCUCUUAGGUUCGUAUGAAGAUGAAAAGAAGUUUGUUUGCUUUCAAAGGAAAAGACUCUUCUUUCAUUGCAGGGUUCCACAAAUAUUGUAUUUCCACUUUUCUCUAUGAAUUAGUAGAAUUUCCCAGUAUGGUAUUAGUCUGAUAAGUUACUGUCUAUACAUGAAAAAUAUUACCCCUAAAUGUUCCUUGGGACAUUGUUAUAUGAUUGCAUUGGCUAAGAUAUAAACAAUUUUGUGCUGAGCUCGCUAGGUGUAAGCACUUUGCAGGACCCCAGGUGUAGACAAUCCAGGAAUGCCAUUUAAAUGUGUGUGUUUGUAUGCUUACGUACAUGUAUAUGGGAAUGCUGCAUAUUAAUACCUCUAUGGCUCAUACGAAGGUGUAUGAAUCUACACUAUUUGAGAAUUGUUUUACUGUCAGUGAAAAAAAGUAGCUAUAUACUCAUGUGGUAUAAUCAUAUGCUCUGUUUUUUACAUAUUUCACAAGCUAAAUAUUUUGAAAUUUUCUGAGUCUGUAGAUAACCCAUCAUGUUCUCAUCACUUUUCCUUAUCUCUCUGGCUAAAAAGUCCCAUGAGUCCAGCUCUGUCAACUGAAGAAGAUUUUCACCAUCGAAAGGGGAGGGAGAUGCGAGUGGUAGCUAGGCCAACUGAAUUUGAAUUUUGCUUAAAAUUUUGUUGGUGUAGCCCUCAAGUCUUGAUAGGAGCACUGUGACUAUCCAUUUGCAAAUUGUUUUCCCAGCAUUAUUCGAGCCUUGCCAGUUACAAGGCUAAAGUUUUAGAUCUGGAAGUCACGCCAGUUUGGGAAAUGCUCUCUCCUGUGUGCGUGGACCUUUCUGAUCUGGAAACGGGUCAAAAAAGCACAAAGAGACAUAAACUUUUCCAUAAAAUAUCUACUGUUCAAUAACUCUGCUACUUUUUCUUUUGCAAAAGGGAUUUCACACAAACUGGUGUAAUUCGGUGUAUCCUUGACUGUCUCCCUGCCAAAUACUAAUAUCCUGUCUAAACAGUGGAUAUCUAGAACUGUGUAUCUCUCUCUCUCUUUUUAGAAAACCACUACAAGAGGUUGUAUAUAUUCCCCCCAAAUAUAUACAGUUCUUCCACUUUAUCCAUAACAAACAGCAAAACUGUUUUUUUCUCAAAAUGCUUAAAAUUCAUGUUUGGCAGAGCCCAGAUUAAGCAAAAGAUGAAAUUGAGAGGAGUGUGCAAGCAAAUGAAAGACAAGAAAAUGUGCUGUGAGAGAGGCAGCCCUGACUCUAGCAUAGCUGUUGUAUUAAGUCUUCCCUGUAACACAUUUAUAUUCUCCCUUCUCAAAAGCCUUAUCAAUCUCUAAAAGGACAGGCUUGCAAAGAAAAUGUUAUAUGAAGCUAAUGUCUACCUAGCUCUUCUCAUGCCUUGGCAACUUGUGUUCUCUUUUCAGCAGCUUCCAAAGAACUAAAUUUGACAGUUGUUGGGGUCUUCUCUUCCCUUUCUCUGGACUGUAUCUAGCGCUGGACACGGGGUGAGCUGAAUUAUCCAUGAGAGGAUUAUCAGAGUGUUUUUCACUAGCUUGGGUUGAUAAUAAUAUACUUGUGUGUGAUAAGCCACAUCAUGCUAAAUGUGAAUAUUUUGAUAUAAGUUAAUUUUUGACAAUAAUGCUUUCCAAUGAGGUGUUCAAAACAGGGCAUGCACAAGUCUGAUACUUGGUGUACCCAAAGGCACUCAGAUCAACAAUGCAUGUUUGGAUAUCGAUUAUUUACUCAUGAGUAUUUAACAACUUUCAUAGCCUUGUGCUCAUGCAGGUGCAUGAGUUUCCUUGAGGACAUCGUUAUUGUUAGACAAUGCUAGUACACAGAUAAGGCAGCAAACCCCUAAUUUUGAAACAAUAUGUUUUUAUUGGAGGAAGAUGAUAUAUUGGCAGUAGGAAAAAUUCUCAGAAAUGCUCACAGAUAAUACUGUUGAAUAUUGAAUACCUUCAGGUAAUAUCGAAUAUCUGCAUCUUCCCUGGGAACAAAUGUUUCAGCAAAAGAUGUUAAGUCCCAAGAACUUGUUUUGCAUGAAAGCAUUACCAAUAAGAACUAUAAAAUAGUCAUAUUAAAAAUAUUUGAAUGUUAGCUUCCAAAGUGUUCUUCAUAGGACAAUGACCCUCUAAUUGUUUACAGUCCUACCACCCCAGCUCUAUUCCAGGCAUUUUCUCCACCAUGCUAUGUCGUUCUGAUGCAGAAACAUGUCACCUGUUUUUAUCUAUUUUUUCGCCUUCUGAUGAUCACUGAGGCAGGAAGGAUUCCUGGCAGGUGCAUGCUCCACAGGGAGAAGCUCACCAAAGCAUAUGCAGAUUGUAUUGUUACGGCUUCCCAUGCUAUUCCUUACACUUAAAGAUUAACAGUUGUUUGAGCCACAUGCCCACCUGCAGAGCUCUGGGGAUCUUUCUUUUCUGUCUGUCCUCCCACUAUCUUUGUUUCUGAAUUCCUGCCAUCUAGGGUGAAUUCCGUAUGGGGUCUUCUGAGGGAUCUUCUCUUCUACUUGGUCGGAACAAGGAUCAAGUCCAGAAUGUGAAGAGCUCCAUUUCAUUUCUGUUAAGUACUGUUGUUGUUAAACUUUCAGGUGUAUAUGGAACUAGUUUAAAUCAAAGCACUGGAGAGAAGGGACAUGAAGAUUUUGUAGACUCUUACAGAUAGAAGAUAGUUGGAGAUACAUGAGGUAAUCCCUCUGUGUCCCUCACACUCAACCUUGGGCCUUUUUUCCCACAGCUUCACACUGUUGCGUCUGAAGAGAAGCCCAUUCAAUUACUCUGCUGUGACAGGAAAGGGCUGUCGUGAUGAAUGGAGGGGACUCUUCACUGGUUUUAAAUGUAGCAGUCCAAGUUCUCCUAUGACAUAAAGCUGCCUGAUAUUAGCAACUGUCAAGAUUUUUAUUGAGUCUUAAAAUAUCUGGGACAAACUCCUGGUCCCACUGAGGUCAAAACAUCAAAACACAGAUGGGUUGCUGUGGGGAAAGGAUGGGGUUUUGAAUAUCAGCUGUGAAAGUUCUCUACAUAAGAACUUCGGCUUUUCCUUCCUUCAUGAGAAAAAAUUAAUAACCAAAAUUUGGUGAUGUGAAGAGAAACUAGACUGGAAUGGAGCCUAUUGGUAGAAACUUUAGAUUGCAAAGCAAAAGGACCCUUUCUUAACUUCCUGAGGUUUUCAAGCCAGUUUUAUGUUUUCUGUAGCCUGACUCACUGUUUUUAAACACUCGCAGUUGCUAAUACAGCAGGAUAGCUCCACUGAAGAUACUGAGUGUUGUGACAGCUCACGUCAGGUGAGGUAGCCUGGCUCGAGGCUGGUGAAAGUCUGGCGAUCA